UACGUAGGGUGCGAGCGUUAAUCGGAAUUACUGGGCGUAAAGCGUGCGCAGGCGGCUUCGCAAGUCAGACGUGAAAUCCCCGGGCUCAACCCGGGAACUGCGUCCGAUACUGGAAGGCUUGAAUCCGGGAGAGGGAUGUGGAAUUCCCAGUGUAGCGGUGAAAUGCGUAGAGAUUGGGAAGAACACCGGUGGCGAAAGCGCUCUGCUGGGCCGCAACUGACACUAAUGGACGAAAGCUAGGGGAGCGAAUGGG
rnacentral:rRNA from 1 species